AUCAGUCUCUUCUAAAACAAUAGAAACACAGGAGAGAGCAAACUGAGGCGGCUGAGAGCAAAAUCGAAGACACACGAUGAGGGUUUUUAAGAACAAGAGCAAAAAUUAGUAGCCAACGUGAAUCUAAGGCUGUUGAAAAGGGUCGAGACCCAGCACCAAGUGAGAUACAUUUGUACGUCCAUACACAUGGGCAUGAUGGAAAAUUUUUUCUUGAUGAGAAAGCUCGAAUCGUGCAUGAAAAGUAUCAGGAAAUAUUGCAGGAAAAAAUACAAACUCAAUCUGAUAUUGAUCAAUGUAAAGUAUAUUAUGAAGCCGCGAGAGGGGAAAAGAAGAGAAAAGUAUAUGGUCUUGGAUCUCAAGCAAAAUGCUACUAUGGACCGAAUCUUGAACUUUAUUGUUGGUGUUAGGGAUAAUUCGAACCUUUUUUGGCUUGAACUUUAUUGUUGGUGUUAGGGAUAAUUCGAACUUAAUUGUAUUAGCUAUAUGGAUUUUGAUAUCAUUUUGGAC